rnacentral:rRNA from 1 species
UUCUGGUUGAUCCUGCCGAAGGCUACUGCUAUUGGAGUUCGAUUAAGCCAUGCGAGUCUAAGGGAUCUUCGGAUCCCUGGCGUAAUGCUAAGUAACACGUGGAUAAUCUACCCUCAGGUGGGGCAUAAACCCGGGAAACUGGGGCCAAUUCCCCAUAAAUACAGAUGGCUGGAAUGCUUCUGUAUUCAAAGCUCCGGCGCCUGAGGAUGAGUCUGCGGCCUAUCAGGUUGUAGUCAGGGUCAUGACCUGACUAGCCAGCGACGGGUAUGGGGUGUGAGAGCACUUGCCCAGAGAUGGUUUCUGAGACACGAAACCAGGCCCUACGGGGCGCAGCAGGCGCGAAAACUUCGCAAUGCGGGAAACCGUGACGAGGGAACUCCAAGUGUCUAUGCAUUGCAUAGACUGUUUUUUAGCCUAAAUAGCUAUUAGAGUAAGGGGUGGGUAAGACCGGUGCCAGCCGCCGCGGUAACACCGGCACCCCGAGUGGUAGCCACUAUUAUUGGGCCUAAAGCGUUCGUAGCCGGUUUGGUAAAUUCUUGGGUAAAUCGUACCGCUUAACGGUGCGGAUUCCGGGGACACUACCAGACUUGAGACCGGGGGAGAUCAGAGGUACUUGCGGGGGAGCGGUGAAAUGUUGUAAUCCCGCAGGGACCACCAGUGGCGAAGGCGUCUGAUCAGAACGGCUCUGACGGUGAGGAACGAAACCCUGGGGCGCAAACGGGAUUAGAUACCCCGGUAGUCCAGGGCGUAAACGCUGCUGACUUGGUGUUGGGGAUCCUACGAGGAUGUCCAGUGCUGGCGCGAAGGUAUUAAGUCAGCCGCCUGGGGAGUACGGUCGCAAGACUGAAACUUAAAGGAAUUGGCGGGGGAGCACUGCAACGUGUGGAGCGUGCGGUUUAAUUGGACUCAACGCCGGGA